CUGGUUGAUCCUGCCAGACCCGACUGCUAUCGGAUUGGGACUAAGCCAUGCGAGUCAACUCCGCAAGGGGUGGCGCACGGCUCAGUAACACGUAGUCAACCUACCCUGGGGACGGGGAUAACCUCGGGAAACUGAGGCUAAACCCCGAUGGGCCAUGGCUCCUGGAAUGGGCUAUGGCUGAAAUCUACAUGGCCCCAGGAUGGGACUGCGGCCGAUCAGGUUGUUGGUGGGGUAAUGGCCCACCAAGCCUAUAACCGGUGCGGGCUCUGAGAGGAGGAGCCCGGAGAUAGGCACUGAGACAAGGGCCCAGGUCCUAUGGGGCGCAGCAGGCGCGAAACCUCCGCAAUGGGCGAAAGCCCGACGGGGUCAGUCCGAGUGGUUCCCGCUGAGGGAACCUUUUGCCAGCUGUAAACAGGCUGGCGAAUAAGGGGUGGGCAAGUUUGGUGUCAGCCGCCGCGGUAAUACCAGCACCCCGAGUGGUCGGGACGAUUAUUGGGCCUAAAGCAUCCGUAGCCGGCCCAGUAAGUCCUCCGUUAAAUCCAACGGCUCAACCGUUGGGCUGCGGGGGAUACUGCUGGGCUAGGGGACGGGAGAGGCGAGGGGUAUUCCCGGGGUAGGGGUAAAAUCCACUGAUCCCGGGAGGACCACCAGUGGCGAAGGCGCCUCGCUAGAACGUGCCCGACGGUGAGGGAUGAAAGCUGGGGGAGCGAACCGGAUUAGAUACCCGGGUAGUCCCAGCCGUAAACGAUGUAGGCUCGGUGUUGGGCUGCCUCAGUGGCAGCCCAGUGCCGCAGGGAAGCCGUUAAGCCUACCGCCUGGGGAGUACGGCCGCAAGGCUGAAACUUAAAGGAAUUGGCGGGGGAGCACCAC
rnacentral:rRNA from 1 species